UUUCUAAAACAAUUUUUUUUUUCGUACAGGAAAAAUUUCUUGUAGUUUUAAACCUACGAAUUACUUCUCAAAGAACAAAAAAUAAAGAUGAAAAUCGGAAGCCCGUGAUAUUUCAAUUUCCAUACGUAAUACGUUAAUGCGAUCGUGAAAUAUUCAUACACGCAAUAACCUUCUUAUUUCAUCCUUUUCUACAGUCUGAAUACAUACAUAUAUAAAGAGAGAUCAUGUCUAUAGAUGCAGAGAUGUAUCGACAUCAGUUAUCUCAAAACUGCAAGGAACCCUGAAAUCUGCACCAGAAAGCUGCUGCGUAUCGAGGGAUUCAAAAUCUUCUGUAUUAUUGCCAUACAAGUUGAGUCCAAGUGCCAAUGGAUCUUGAAAAUCAUUCUUUGAUGACGAAAAACUCAUUUUGUUCUGAAUAGGGUCAACGAACAGCUUAAGAAGUUCUCUCUCUUCUCUCUUCUCCUUUAUUCUCUGCAACUGUCGAAAUCUUUCUUGUAGGAGUACGAUGGAAGAACCAACAACUUUCUGAUCAUUAUUUUGUCGUCCCAUGGUUCAAAUCAUAUAUGUUUCAUGUUCUCUGCGUACAUAUAUAAAGAAUGAAGGUACAGAAGAAUCUGCCACUGUGAGAAAAACCCAAGAAGAAAUAGUUAUAAGGGUAAUGGGGAGGGUGGCUGAUUUGAACCUGAGAAGGUGAAAGGACUUUUUGGGAGAGGAAAAUGUUGAACAAAAAAGGACAACUGAAAAUGGACAUAAUGAAUGGAAUGAUGUAUGUAAAGGAAUAUAAGGAGUAGCUGAUGUUGGCGUCGGCUGUCUUUAGCAGUCAUUUAGCUUCGUAGAUGGUUCCAUUUUUUGUUGGUUAAUGG
rnacentral:lncRNA from 1 species